rnacentral:rRNA from 1 species
GACAGAGGGUGCAAACGUUGCUCGGAUUUACUGGGCGUAAAGGGCGUGUAGGCGGUUUGUUAAGUCUGGCGUGAAAGCUCUCGGCUAAACCGGGAGAGGUCGUUGGAUACUGGCGAACUAGAGGAUGGUAGAGGCGAGUGGAAUUCCGAGUGUAGAGGUGAAAUUCGUAGAUAUUCGGAAGAACACCAGUGGCGAAGGCGACUCGCUGGACAAGUAUUGACGCUGAUGUGCGAAAGCGUGGGGAGCAAACAGG